CCUACGGGAGGCAGCAGUGAGGAAUAUUGGUCAAUGGCCGGAAGGCUGAACCAGCCAUGCCGCGUGAAGGUCAGUGCCCUAUGGGCGUUAAACUUCUUUUGUGCGGGAGCAAUAAUGGUCACGUGUGGCCAGACGAGAGUACCGUACGAAUAAGCAUCGGCUAACUCCGUGCCAGCAGCCGCGGUAAUACGGGGGAUGCAAGCGUUAUCCGGAUUUAUUGGGUUUAAAGGGUGCGUAGGUUGUUUUUUAAGUCAGCGGUGAAAGUUUGUGGCUCAACCAUAAAAUUGCCGUUGAAACUGGAAGACUUGAGUGUGUUUGAGGUAGGCGGAAUGCGUGGUGUAGCGGUGAAAUGCAUAGAUAUCACGCAGAACUCCGAUUGCGAAGGCAGCUUACUAAGCCAUAACUGACACUGAAGCACGAAAGCGUGGGGAUCAAACAGGAUUAGAUACCCCAGUAGUC
rnacentral:rRNA from 1 species